UUUUAAAUGGCCGCAGUAUUUUGACUGUGCAAAGGUAGCAUAAUCAUUAGUUUUUUAAUUAAAAGCUUGUAUGAAAGGCUGGACGAGGUAAAAUCUGUCUCUAUUUAAAUUAUAUUAGAAUUUAACUUUUAAGUUAAAAGGCUUAAAUUGUAUUAAAAGACGAGAAGACCCUAUAGAUCUUUAUAAUUUAUUAAAUUAAAUUAAUUUAGAAGUUUUUAUAUUUUAUUUAAUAGUAUUAUUUUAUUGGGGUAAUAGAAAGAUUGAAUUAAUUCUUUUUUAUAAUAAACAUUAAUUUAUGAAUAUAAAUGAUCCAGUUUUACUGAUUAUAAGAUUAAGUUACCUUAGGGAUAACAGCGUAAUUUUUUUAGAGAGUUCAUAUCGAUAAGAAAGUUUGCGACCUCGAUGUUGGAUUAAAGAUUAUUUUAGGUGCAGAAGCUUAAUAAUUUUGGUCUGUUCGACCAUUAAAUCUUUACAUGAUCUGAGUUCAGACCGGCGUAAGCCAGGUCGGUUUCUAUCUUUAAUAAAAUAAAAUAUUUUAGUACGAAAGGACCAAAUAUUUAAUAUAUUUAUAUUUAAAUUAAUUGAAUAUUA
rnacentral:rRNA from 1 species